GGAGAGACUGAAGGGGAGAGGUGGCCCCCACACUGCCUGCGCGGCUCUCUGUGGCUGAUCUCAGAGAGUGCUGGAGCUGAAGGAGGAAAGACGACGAGCCAGAAUACAUUUUUGUCCGUCGCCAACCAGUGGAGGAGACACCUGGUAAUAAGAUAGAAAUACAUAAUGCACUGUACUGUAUUCUAACUUACUGUAACAUGUAUAACACUGAGCUGAUCAUCUUCACACCCUCUGACAUAACCUUACAGUACAUACUGUACUUUCUCUCCUUUUUCACCCUCUUCACUCCACAAAUGCAUGCUGCGUUUCCUGACUACUGAUAUAAUAGUGUGCAGAGCGUAGCGAGGCACCGUGCCCGCCGCGUGGCGAGCGGAGCAAGCAUGCAAGGAGCUGCGUUCCGCUCGCCACCCCUGUCGGGAUUGUGUGGUCGGGAUUCCGGCGUCUGUAUUUUGACCGCCAGGAUCCCGUCCAGCGGGAUUACGUGCUGAUUUCCAGUCUGAGCCUGCCCUAGGCAUAGGCAUACUUGGCAAAUGCCUAGGGGCACAAGCAGCUUCUGCUGAUUAAUAUGAUAUGCAGCAUGCCUACAGUAUAUUCUGUGUGUGACUGCGUCUGUAUCUGCAUACAAAAUGCAUUACUAAUGUGCAGCAUUAUGUGUAUAAGGGGUACUACAGUACUGUGUUGUGUAACAUAUACUGUAGCAAGGGCACUACUGUGUGGUCUAAUGUGAACAAAGAGCAAUAUGAUGUGAUGCAAUGUGAAUAAGUGGGAAUACUUUGAGGAGUAAUGUGGUACUAUCAUAUGAUGUAACGAGAAUAAGAGACACUAUUGCAUGAUAUAAUGUGAAUAAAGUUGCCGUACUGUGUGGCGUCAUUUCAGAUUGGGGAAUUACUGUGUGGCCAUGCCCCUUCCCAGCAAGAACAUGCACCGUUUUGGGAUGCACACCGAAUGUGCACACUGUUGCUAUUUUAAACAUACAAUAGGUUGGAGGAGCACCAAAAUGAGGACUGCUAUGGUUGAGGGGUGAUGGUGCUGGGAAAGGGGUACAGGGUCAGAGGCGGAAAUAGCGUCUGUGCAAGGGGGCAGCAUCCAAAAACUUGACUAGGGAAUCAUAUUGGUUAUGGCUGGCUCUGAGUACAGUCCACUAUUAUUGAUAGUACUCCCUACAACAACACCUACAGUACUGUAACCCUCUUUUUUCUGAAGCUGUCAUGAAAUGUCAUGACUGCUAAUACAUAAAUGUCUACAGUAUUUGUACUGUGGUGUUUUAUUCCUUUGACAAUUUGUUUAUGACCUAUUGAAGCUAAACUCUUGUACAGUACUUUAUAUUUUGAAUACCAGCAAUACAGUAGAAUACUGUACCUACAGUAUACAGUAGUAAUUGUAUAGUAUUUGAAUGUGACUAAUGUUUUUUUUCUCCAAUAUAAUGCCAAUGAUUUAUGGGGGCCCUAGACAGGGGCAAGAUAGGUGGGCUGGCCCAGAAGCGGGCAGGCAGCAGCCCACUUAUACAAGAGGUAAACUAAAGCAAUGUUUAAAUUACCUCGACAGCAUAC